UAAAAAAAAGCACGGGAAGAAUCUGAUCGUGAUCGUUUGAAGGUUAAAAAGGCCUUAAAGGGGGUGAAGGUAGCACUUUCUUAUCCUGAGGAUAGGUCUUAUACAAUCACAAGGGUCUCGGUGGAACCCCUGGCAAGCUGAUAUCUUCAAUGAUGCAAUUGAAGCUUUACGGGUUUCCUAUAAGAAGAUGAACCCUUUAUGUGUACCUUUCGCAACCACAAAUAUGGGUUCUGCCAUGCUGGCAAUGGAUCUGGUGAGAU